ACGUUUAUUUGGAUGAUGUCUCUGGACAGGAGGAAACUUCAGUGCAGUUCCAGACCCCUGUAACAUUCCUCUGGAUUUUUUCUGCAACCGAAUAUUUGCUUCUGAUCCUGAAAUGGAGCAAGUAGUCCUGCUGACACUGGUUGGGAUGGAUGCUAUCAACAGUGCUGGAGAACUCCUAUGCCAGAUCCUUCUUCCUGGGAGCAAUAAUCAGUAUCAGAAUGCAGAAGAACCUGAUUCAGGGUUUGAGCUUCUAGGUCUCAAGUGGUUGCCCCGUCUCACUCGACAUCAGGCAAAAGAAGUAACUCCUUUUGAGGUUGGAGAUGCUUCCUGGUGGAGAAGCCUUGAUACACUGAUGUCUAAUCCAGUCCUUGUGUGUGCGUUACGGCGGAUCAAUGCCUUCCAAGUCCUUCAAGAUGCAUUAAAGAGAUUAACACAGUGCAGGGAGGAGCUAAGCGAGAGUGACAGUGCUCUGCAGAGAGUAAUGGCCUUGACCCCAGAGGUAACGUUCAGACAAGCCAUCCUUUUCUUCACAGAGAAGGAUCUUGUAGCUGAUCCAGAGCACCGCCCUACUGCCAAAUACCUGCCACCACCUGGCAAGACAUCCAGGGCUGGAGUGGAAGAGACCCAGAGAUGCCAUGCAGAAUCACUGUUUGCCUACUUGCAUGCAGGAGCCCAGAUUCUCUGCACGGUGCUGCUGAUCAAACCUGGUGCCUGGAGCCAUCAUCUUGCAAGGAUCCUCCGAAAGCUCAACCUAGAAAAGUUCUCUGUGGUUGGGAUGAAACACGUACACCUGGAGCCAGGCAUCGCCUUAGGGCUCCUUUCUUCUGAAGCAAAGCAGGUUUGUUAAGAACCUGGCCAU
rnacentral:lncRNA from 1 species